rnacentral:rRNA from 1 species
UAACACGUAGGGAACCUGCCCAUGCGGCCGGGACAACUUCCGGAAACGGAUGCUGAUACCGGAUAAGGAAAGCGAAGGCAUCUUUGCUUUGUUAAAGGAGCUGCAAGGCUCCGCGCAUGGAUGGACCUGCGGUGCAUUAGCUGGUUGGUGAGGUAAAGGCUCACCAAGGCGACGAUGCAUAGCCGGCCUGAGAGGGCGAACGGCCACACUGGGACUGAGACACGGCCCAGUCUCCUACGGAAGGCAGCAG